AGACAACAAAAGACUACUGCUCUGACAUUGGCAGCGAACAAGGAAGUUAAACACAAUGACCAAUUGCAUCAUAACAAUGCACCUUAAUUGAUAGUGGUAUAUUUUCUUGUAUAGUCCAUUGCAUUUCCCUCCCCGACUGCAAUACAUAUACAGAGCAUGCAUAACGCCAUUUUAUCAGCAAAUCUGUUAUUUGUUCAAGCCUAAAACAACAUGAGAAAUCACGCUGAACAAAUUUAGCAUGAUACUAACUACAAAGAAAGAAAAGGAGUUGUUUACUUGCUUAAUUGACCAGCUAUCACACUUCAGAGUCGGACUGUCCAGUGUUGAGCAUGUUAACUCCCUCCUGGAUCAGAAAGAAAUCCCAUGACUUCCGACUUCGCUUGAUAUUAUUCAGUAUCCCUUGGC
rnacentral:lncRNA from 1 species